rnacentral:rRNA from 1 species
UGGCUGUCGUCAGCUCGUGUCGUGAGAUGUUGGGUUAAGUCCCGUAACGAGCGCAACCCUUGUCCUUAGUUACCAGCACGUUAUGGUGGGCACUCUAAGGAGACUGCCGGUGACAAACCGGAGGAAGGUGGGGAUGACGUCAAGUCAUCAUGGCCUUUAUGACCAGGGCUACACACGUACUACAAUGGCCGAUACAAAGGGCAGCGACAUCGCGAGGUGAAGCCAAUCCCAUAAAAUCGGUCUCAGUCCGGAUUGGAGUCUGCAACUCGACUCCAUGAAGUUGGAAUCGCUAGUAAUCGUGGAUCAGCAUGCCACGGUGAAUACGUUCCCGGGCCUU